AGGCAGAUGAUGAUUUAUUAUUAUUUUGGAACUGAUUAAAUUGUGAUUUUCCAAAUUCGAGCUUUUUAAAACUGAUGCCUC
rnacentral:snoRNA from 1 species